UUUAAAUUUAUUAAUAAUAGAGCUAUGAUGAACAAAAUGUUGUGAAGGCAGGACCAUAUGUCAUGAUCACAAGUGACUAGGCAGCAUAAGCUCACACUAGGGGUCAGAAUGAGGCUAUUAAUGCCACAUUUCCCUGGGAAGGUCUGAGAGAAGGGACAUGAGAAGCUCUAGUAGGGCAACCUUUGAGAAGAGGGGCAGAACACCAGACACCCUUUGGAAUCCUUGUUGUUGACUCUGUCUAGGACACCUAGAAAUUAUGUCAAUAAUGUCUAGGUGGAGAUGCGUUAACAACAUUGGUUGGAAAAGUACUGUGUCCAGCUUAAUUUAGUGUGAUGUGUGAGGUGACUUUGUUCAUAACUCAAUUCAGACUAUUCUGUGCUGCCAAGUCCUGUGUCCCAUGCCUAUGGUUGUGGGCCGAAUGUACCAUGAUUAUGAGAGCUGAGCGGUUAGCUUUGUAACAUAUAUUUAUAAAUUUUCUAUGAAUGUCCAUUGAUCUGAAGUUGUUUUCAGGACCCAAUAGGAGAGUGUUGAAGAUAUCCAACUUAUAUGAAUGAUGACUGGAUGGUGCAAAUCACAUGAUAUUAACCCAUUCAUGCCGGUUGACUUGCUAUCACGCUCAGUGGUUUUUGGGUCUGACGCUGGCGACGAGAUAUUUCGUCAAGGCCAGUGCGCCGGGUAAUUGGGCAUACAGCACUCGCCCAUGGCUAGUGCGGUCGAGAAUCCUGAGGCUUUUGGCUUAUGCAUUUGAAUAUCCUGGCAUUUCGACCAUUUAGAGCCAAAAUAGCCUGGUCGUCAAUGGGUUAAAUGAACAUCCUUGAUGCAAAUACAUGAAAACUAGAAUAAUUUACAUGUAUGAGAUCACAAGUAUCCACAAAGGCAUGAAAAGGUGGUCAUAAACAGGUAAUCGGUAUGAAUUGAAUUAGAGUAGAAAUGUUAUUUCCAUACCUAUGAUAGGCUGCAAUAUUCGCUGAAUGUUUUUGAUAUUGAAGUCAGAAUAAAUAGUUUAAACAGUAGUUUAAGUACUCUGAAACUACUGUUCAUUAAUGUGAUAGACCAGAGUUUAAAUGUAUGAAUUGAUAUUUCAAAAUUAAGUUGGAAUAAAACAAAUAUUAUCA
rnacentral:lncRNA from 1 species